UACGUAGGGUGCGAGCGUUGUCCGGAAUUAUUGGGCGUAAAGGGCAGGUAGGUGGUCUCAUUUGUCUGGGGUGAAAGCCUUGAGCUUAACUCAAGAAGUGCCCCAGAAACGGUGAGACUCGAGUCCUAGAGAGGCUAGUGGAAUUCCCGGUGUAGCGGUGAAAUGCGUAGAGAUCGGUAGGAACACCCGUGGCGAAGGCGGUCUCCUGGGGCCUUCUUGACGCUGAGGCGGCGAAAGCUGGGGGAGCGAACGGG
rnacentral:rRNA from 1 species